CACGUAGGGCGCAAGCGUUGUCCGGAAUUAUUGGGCGUAAAGAGCUCGUAGGUGGUCUGCUACGUCCGCUGUGAAAUUCCAGGGCUUAACCCUGGACUGGCAGUGGAUACGGGCAGACUAGAGGUAGGUAGGGGAGAAUGGAAUUCCCGGUGUAGCGGUGAAAUGCGCAGAUAUCGGGAGGAACACCGGUGGCGAAGGCGGUUCUCUGGGCCUUACCUGACAAUGAGGAGCGAAAGCGUGGGGAGCGAACAGG
rnacentral:rRNA from 1 species